AGUAAAAGUCGUAACAAGGUUUCCGUAGGUGGUUCGCCUGCGACAUCAGUCUGCUUCGGCAGGCAACAUCUCUACUGUGCUAGAAAUUACAAUGGUAUUACUAGCAGCCUGCCUGGCAGGUCCACAGAUCAAAUAGAGGUGGCCCCUAGGGGUUGAGACAUGAUCGAGUCCGUGCUGGAACAGCACCGAGGAAUUGGAACCUGCGGAAGGAUCAUUAAAGAGUCAUUGUGGGUUCACGCCCUAAUACUCCACCCAUUGUUUACAUUACCUUUGUUGCUUUGGCAGGCCCGUCUCCGGACCGCCGGCUCCCAGCUGGCCAGCGCCUGCCAGAGGACCCAAAACUCUUGUUUAAUAAUAUUGUCUGAGUACUAUAUAAUAGCUAAAACUUUCAACAACGGAUCUCUUGGUUCUGGCAUCGAUGAAGAACGCAGCGAAAUGCGAUAAGUAAUGUGAAUUGCAGAAUUCAGUGAAUCAUCGAAUCUUUGAACGCACAUUGCGCCCUCUGGUAUUCUGGGGGGCAUGCCUGUUCGAGCGUCAUUACAACCCUCAAGCACAGCUUGGUGUUAAGCCUCACCCAUCAGGGCGGGCUGCAAAAUCAGUGGCGGUGCCAUUCGGCUUCAAGCGUAGUAAUUCUUCUCGCUUUGGAGGACCGGGUGCGUGCCUGCCAGCAACCCCAAUUUUAUCAAAGGUUGACCUCGGAUCAGGUAGGGAUACCCGCUGAACUUAAGCAUAUCAAUAAGCGGAGGAAAAGAAACCAACC
rnacentral:rRNA from 1 species